CCUACGGGGGACAGCAGUGAGGAAUAUUGGUCAAUGGACGAGAGCCUGAACCAGCCAAGUAGCGUGAAGGAUGACUGCCCUAUGGGUUGUAAACCUCUUUUAUAAAGGAAUAAAACGAGGCACGUGUGCCUUUUUGUAUGUACUUUAUGAAUAAGGAUCGGCUAACUCCGUGCCAGCAGCCGCGGUAAUACGGAGGAUCCGAGCGUUAUCCGGAUUUAUUGGGUUUAAAGGGAGCGUAGAUGGGUUGUUAAGUCAGUUGUGAAAGUUUGCGGCUCAACCGUAAAAUUGCAAUUGAUACUGGCAGUCUUGAGUACAUUUGAGGUAGGCGGAAUGCGUGGUGUAGCGGUGAAAUGCUUAGAUAUCACGAAGAACCCCGAUUGCGAAGGCAGCUUACUAAGCUGUGACUGACAUUGAUGCUCGAAAGUGUGGGUAUCAAACAGGAUUAGAUACCCGAGUAGUC
rnacentral:rRNA from 1 species